rnacentral:misc_RNA from 1 species
AGGUGGAAUCAGACAUGAACAUUCUUAGGCAUCACUAAUCUUGCAGGGUACCAAGGUAUAACUUUAGCAAGGCAUAAGGUAUAUCUUCAGAAUAUCCACUAUACACAACUUUGUAUUUGGAAGGUGCCUACAUGUUGCUCACAAGGUGGAAUCAGACAUCAACAUUCUUAGGCAUCACUAAUCUUGCAGGGUACCAAGGUAUAACUUUAGCAAGGUAUAAGGUAUAUCUUUCAGGUAUAUUCCUAUCUACCUAUGUAUAUUUCAUUUUGUACAUGUCACUGUCUACAUGUAUAUUUCAGACUAUCCACUAAUCAUAAGUUCCAAUUGGACUGUCUAGCUGUACAAUGAUAGUCGUGGAAUUUUUGCAAAGCAAUUUCUUGCGGGGACACUGUUCUUGCACAGCAAAUGGACCAGUUAGAUCGGAGGCAAUCUUCUGGAACCUGUUGCGCCAUUGCUUCCUGAGCGCUGAUUAAUAGGACACCUGAACCAUAUAUCAUACAUAUGAACUUGUUUUCUUCUCGUAAGAAACUCAUGCAAAUUCUAUCAGGGCGAUAAAAAUUACACGCGUAUUACAAGUUGAGUAUUUUUUUGCUGUAACGCGUCAGAGCGACAAGUAACGGUAACGAUAAAGAAUUUUCUAUUUCGAAUCGGAUUACAGGGGAGCAAUUCAUGAGGCGUUAAAAGGUCAUUCCCGAAUCAUCUGUACCCUUCGUAAUGACCCAGAUACGACGUUUUAAGCGUAGCACAGUUUAGCGCCGGUAAGUGUACAUAAAUCACACGGAAGACAACGAGCAGGAAAUGAACGCAUGCCAGACAACAUUGAUUUACAGACGGGCAGUUCGGGAAAGUAUGAACGCUGUGUAGAACAAUUUGUUUGUUGUUUAACAAUUAACUGAAUGAGUAGAUUAAACAAACGUGAAGGUCGUCGAUUCAUCAGUGACGAAGAAAUUGAGAAAUCGUAACGCCAUACACAGUGAAUUCGAGCUAUCGCACGAUCUAUGUACAACUGGGCUUCGAGUGACCACAUUGUUCCUGAGGAAAUAGCAGUGCAACGUUACAGGAGAUACGCAUAUUAUAGGAUACAGUCUGUGUAUACAUAGAUAAAUAGAUACUGAGAGAUAGAUAGAUACUGAGAGAUAGAUAGAUGCUGGGAGAUAGAUAGAUAC